AGCGAACGCUGGCGGCGUGCCUAACACAUGCAAGUCGAACGUGAAAAGGGAAACCUGAGUAAAGUGGCGUACGGGUGAGUAACGCGUAGGUAAUCUACCCCAGAAUCUGGAAUAACCUGCCGAAAGGCGGGCUAAUACUGGAUAGAGCGAGGGAACUCGUAAGAGAGUUUUUCGGGAAAGGGAGCCCGCAAGGGCCUUCGUUCUGGGAUGAGCCUGCGUCUCAUUAGCUAGUUGGUAAGGUAACGGCUUACCAAGGCGAUGAUGAGUAGCUGGUCUGAGAGGCUGAUCAGCCACACUGGAACUGAAACACGGUCCAGACUCCUACGGGAGGCAGCAGUGGGGAAUCUUGCGCAAUGGACGAAAGUCUGACGCAGCCACGCCGCGUGAGUGAAGAAGGCCUUCGGGUUGUAAAGCUCUGUCGGAUGGGACGAACAUCCUCAUAGUGAAUAGCUAUGAGGACUGACGGUACCAUCAAAGGAAGCACCGGCUAACUCCGUG
rnacentral:rRNA from 1 species